GCCAGGUGUGAUGGCACCUGCCUGUAAUCCCAGCAACUUGGGAGCCUGAGGCAGGAGGAUCACAAGUUUGAGGCCAACCUCAGCAACUUAGUAAGGACCCUAAGCAAUUUGGUGAUACCCUGCCUCAA
rnacentral:sRNA from 1 species